rnacentral:rRNA from 1 species
AACGAACGCUAUCGGUAUGCUUAACACAUGCAAGUCGGACGGACUAAUUAGGGCUUGCUCCAAUUGGUUAUUGGCAGGCGGGUGAGUAACACGUGGGAAUCUGCCCCUUAGUACGGAAUAACUUUUAGAAAUAACCGCUAAUACCGUCUAUUCACUUCUGAGGACAGAUUUUUCGCUGAUGGAUGAGGCCGCGUCUGUCUAUGUAGGUGGUGAGGUAACGGCUCACCAAGCUGACUAUGUGUAGCUGGUCUGAGGGGAUGAUCAGCCACACUGGGACUGAGACACGGCCCAGACUCCUCCGGGAGGCAGAAGUGGGGAAGAAUGGACACUGGGCGAGAGCCUGAUCCAGCAAUACCGAGUGAGUGAGAAAGGCCCUAGGGUUGAAAAGCUCUUUUAGCAAGGAAGAUAAUGACGUUACUUGCAGAAAAAGCCCCGGCUAACUCCGU